GGGCGCCGGGCUGCGGCGUUCUGGGAGGUCGCUCUGAGCGCUCCGCGGCCCGGGCCACCUCAUCACUCACGACCGGUCCCCGCCGGGCCGCCUCGGUCCCUGGAAGUCACCGAGGGAAUGAAGAAUAUAUUACAAUGGAGAUUUCUAGAAAGGGUACUCUCCAAGGCAGCAAUUACCAACUACGACCUUUUGGGUUUUGAGGCUGCUUCCUAGGAAUGUCCGUUCCUUGGCUACAUCAUCAGAGAAUCAGAGAGUUGAGGAUUGCCGCCAGCACCACGAGGCCUAUGGGUACUUCUUGCUCAUCCAGACGAGGUGCCAGGACAAUGACCAGUACGGCCACGGGAACAAUGCUGUCUACUGCAGCUACUUAGACACGAUGAUCGACCAGUACCUGAUGAGCCCACCAAGGAGCCACCUUCCGUCGAUCUCCGGGACUUCAGUGAUGGCUUUUUCUUUGGCCACCCCAAGCUGGCGCAGUUUGCCGCUUUGGCCUGUACCACUGGGUCUUCAGUCCAUGUCUUUGUGAAUCCAGCCAUCAGCAAGCCAGUGGGGCCUUCCUGAAGACUUCCGGCGGGGCCUCCUGCGGCUGAUGAGCCCGGCUCCAGCGUGAAGGUUUGUAUGGGAAUCGCGCCUGCCGGAAAAUAAAGUGUAGAUGAUCCUCUAAACAAUUUCUUUUUUUUUUUUUUUAAUUUAAGUAUAGUUGAUUUACAAUGUUGUGUUAGUUUUAGGUGUGCAGCAAAGUGAUUCAGUUAUACAUAUACAUAUUUUUUCGGAUUAUUUUCCAUUUAGGUUACUACAAGAUAUUGAAUAUAAUUCCUGGUGCUAUACAGGAAAUCCUUGUUGCUUAUCUAUUUUAUGUAGUUUGUAUCUGUUUAUCCUAUACUCCUAAUUUAUCCCUACCCCCUCCCUUUCCCCUUUGGUAACCAAAAGUUUGUCUUCUAUGUCUGUGAGUCUGUUUCUGUUUUGUAUAUAGAUUCAUUUGUAUUAUUUUUUAGAUUCCACUAUUAAGUGAUACCAAAUAAUAUUUGUCUUUCUCUGUCUGCCUGCUUCGCUAAGUAUAAUAUUCUCUAGGUCCAUCCAUGUUGCUGCAAAUGGCAAUAUUUCAUUCUCCAGAUGGUUUCUUUUUAUUCCUUAGCAUGUUUUUUCACCCUCAGGAGAGGGUAUUUUUUACCCUUUAUGAGAGUCACCUAGCUCCAACAAUCAAGCAUCUCCUUGCGUCAGGCCUGGGCAAAGUGCUUCACACUCAGGGCCUCCCUGAGCCUCCCACAACCACUCAGCUGGGCUUGUGCUGUCUUGCCUCCUUUUACAGAAGAGGAAAAGGAGGCUUGCAGAGUGGAAGUAAUUGGCCUGAAGUCGUUCAGCUAGUGAGUGGGUCUGACUCUCAAGUCACCUGGGCGUGC